UACGUAGGGUGCAAGCGUUAAUCGGAAUUACUGGGCGUAAAGCGUGCGCAGGCGGCUUUGCAAGACAGAUGUGAAAUCCCCGGGCUUAACCUGGGAACUGCAUUUGUGACUGCAUGGCUGGAGUGCGGCAGAGGGGGAUGGAAUUCCGCGUGUAGCAGUGAAAUGCGUAGAUAUGCGGAGGAACACCGAUGGCGAAGGCAAUCCCCUGGGCCUGCACUGACGCUCAUGCACGAAAG
rnacentral:rRNA from 1 species